rnacentral:rRNA from 1 species
GUGAGGAAUAUUGCGCAAUGGAGGAAACUCUGACGCAGCAACGCCGCGUGGGGGAUGAAGCUUUAUGGAGUGUAAACCCCUGUAAGCAGGGACGAAAGGUAGAUAAUCGAAAGGUUAUGUACGUGACGGUACCUGCAGAGUAAGCUCCGGCUAACUCCGUGCCAGCAGCCGCGGUAAUACGGGGGGAGCGAGCGUUGUCCGGAAUUACUGGGCGUAAAGGGCGUGUAGGCGGUUUGAUAAGUCAGAUGUUAAAGGUUCCGGCUUAACCGGAGAAGGUCAUUUGAAACUGUCAGGCUGGAGUUCGAGAGAGGGUAGCGGAAUUCCCAGUGUAGCGGUGAAAUGCGUAGAUAUUGGGAAGAACACCAGUAGCGCAGGCGGCUACCUGGCUCGUAACUGACGCUGAGGCGCGAAAGCGUGGGGAGCAAACAGGAUUAGAUACCCCGGUAGUCC